ACGCUGGCGGCAGGCUUAACACAUGCAAGUCGAGCGCCCCGCAAGGGGAGCGGCAGACGGGUGAGUAACGCGUGGGAACAUACCCAACUCUACGGAAUAACUCAGGGAAACUUGUGCUAAUACCGUAUACGCCCUUCGGGGGAAAGAUUUAUCGGAGUUGGAUUGGCCCGCGUUGGAUUAGCUAGUUGGUGGGGUAAAGGCCUACCAAGGCGACGAUCCAUAGCUGGUCUGAGAGGAUGAUCAGCCACAUUGGGACUGAGACACGGCCCAAACUCCUACGGGAGGCAGCAGUGGGGAAUAUUGGACAAUGGGCGCAAGCCUGAUCCAGCCAUGCCGCGUGUGUGAUGAAGGCCUUAGGGUUGUAAAGCACUUUCACCGGAGAAGAUAAUGACGGUAUCCGGAGAAGAAGCCCCGGCUAACUUCGUG
rnacentral:rRNA from 1 species